rnacentral:rRNA from 1 species
ACUCCUACGGGAGGCAGCAGUAGGGAAUUUUCCGCAAUGGACGAAAGUCUGACGGAGCAAUGCCGCGUGAGUGAUGAAGGUUUUCGAAUCGUAAAGCUCUGUUGUAAGGGAAGAAUAGCAAGAAUAGGAAAUGAUUCUUGUCUGACGGUACCUUACCAGAAAGCCACGGCUAACUACGUGCCAGCAGCCGCGGUAAUACGUAGGUGGCAAGCGUUAUCCGGAAUUAUUGGGCGUAAAGCGCAUGUAGGCGGCUUUUUAAGUCUGAUGUGAAAGCCAGUGGCUCAACCACUGAAUUGCAUUGGAUACUGGAAAGCUAGAAUCUUGGAGAGGUAAGUGGAAUUUCAUGUGUAGCGGUGGAAUGCGUAGAUAUAUGAAGGAACACCAAUGGCGAAGGCAGCUUACUGGACAAGUAUUGACGCUGAGAUGCGAAAGUGUGGUAGCAAACAGGAUUAGAUACCCUGGUAGACAUCA